GAGGAUAUAGCUCAAACACUAGAGCACAUGCUUAGCAUGCACAAAGUCCUGGGUUCAAUCCCCAGUACCUCCU
rnacentral:tRNA from 1 species